UCAUAGCUCAGUGGCAGAGUUUCUGCUUUGCGUGCAGAAGGUCGCAGGUUCAAUCCCCAGCACAGCCAUGUGAAAAA